GGGUUGUGAGGUUAAGCGACUAAGCGUACACGGUGGAUGCCCUGGCAGUCAGAGGCGAUGAAGGACGUGCUAAUCUGCGAUAAGCGUCGGUAAGGUGAUAUGAACCGUUAUAACCGGCGAUUUCCGAAUGGGGAAACCCAGUGUGUUUCGACACACUAUCAUUAACUGAAUCCAUAGGUUAAUGAGGCGAACCGGGGGAACUGAAACAUCUAAGUACCCCGAGGAAAAGAAAUCAACCGAGAUUCCCCCAGUAGCGGCGAGCGAACGGGGAGCAGCCCAGAGCCUGAAUCAGUGUGUGUGUUAGUGGAAGCGUCUGGAAAGGCGCGCGAUACAGGGUGACAGCCCCGUACACAAAAAUGCACAUGCUGUGAGCUCGAUGAGUAGGGCGGGACACGUGGUAUCCUGUCUGAAUAUGGGGGGACCAUCCUCCAAGGCUAAAUACUCCUGACUGACCGAUAGUGAACCAGUACCGUGAGGGAAAGGCGAAAAGAACCCCGGCGAGGGGAGUGAAAAAGAACCUGAAACCGUGUACGUACAAGCAGUGGGAGCACGCUUAGGCGUGUGACUGCGUACCUUUUGUAUAAUGGGUCAGCGACUUAUAUUCUGUAGCAAGGUUAACCGAAUAGGGGAGCCGAAGGGAAACCGAGUCUUAACUGGGCGUUAAGUUGCAGGGUAUAGACCCGAAACCCGGUGAUCUAGCCAUGGGCAGGUUGAAGGUUGGGUAACACUAACUGGAGGACCGAACCGACUAAUGUUGAAAAAUUAGCGGAUGACUUGUGGCUGGGGGUGAAAGGCCAAUCAAACCGGGAGAUAGCUGGUUCUCCCCGAAAGCUAUUUAGGUAGCGCCUCGUGAAUUCAUCUCCGGGGGUAGAGCACUGUUUCGGCAAGGGGGUCAUCCCGACUUACCAACCCGAUGCAAACUGCGAAUACCGGAGAAUGUUAUCACGGGAGACACACGGCGGGUGCUAACGUCCGUCGUGAAGAGGGAAACAACCCAGACCGCCAGCUAAGGUCCCAAAGUCAUGGUUAAGUGGGAAACGAUGUGGGAAGGCCCAGACAGCCAGGAUGUUGGCUUAGAAGCAGCCAUCAUUUAAAGAAAGCGUAAUAGCUCACUGGUCGAGUCGGCCUGCGCGGAAGAUGUAACGGGGCUAAACCAUGCACCGAAGCUGCGGCAGCGACACUAUGUGUUGUUGGGUAGGGGAGCGUUCUGUAAGCCUGUGAAGGUGUGCUGUGAGGCAUGCUGGAGGUAUCAGAAGUGCGAAUGCUGACAUAAGUAACGAUAAAGCGGGUGAAAAGCCCGCUCGCCGGAAGACCAAGGGUUCCUGUCCAACGUUAAUCGGGGCAGGGUGAGUCGACCCCUAAGGCGAGGCCGAAAGGCGUAGUCGAUGGGAAACAGGUUAAUAUUCCUGUACUUGGUGUUACUGCGAAGGGGGGACGGAGAAGGCUAUGUUGGCCGGGCGACGGUUGUCCCGGUUUAAGCGUGUAGGCUGGUUUUCCAGGCAAAUCCGGAAAAUCAAGGCUGAGGCGUGAUGACGAGGCACUACGGUGCUGAAGCAACAAAUGCCCUGCUUCCAGGAAAAGCCUCUAAGCAUCAGGUAACAUCAAAUCGUACCCCAAACCGACACAGGUGGUCAGGUAGAGAAUACCAAGGCGCUUGAGAGAACUCGGGUGAAGGAACUAGGCAAAAUGGUGCCGUAACUUCGGGAGAAGGCACGCUGAUAUGUAGGUGAAGUCCCUCGCGGAUGGAGCUGAAAUCAGUCGAAGAUACCAGCUGGCUGCAACUGUUUAUUAAAAACACAGCACUGUGCAAACACGAAAGUGGACGUAUACGGUGUGACGCCUGCCCGGUGCCGGAAGGUUAAUUGAUGGGGUCAGCGCAAGCGAAGCUCUUGAUCGAAGCCCCGGUAAACGGCGGCCGUAACUAUAACGGUCCUAAGGUAGCGAAAUUCCUUGUCGGGUAAGUUCCGACCUGCACGAAUGGCGUAAUGAUGGCCAGGCUGUCUCCACCCGAGACUCAGUGAAAUUGAACUCGCUGUGAAGAUGCAGUGUACCCGCGGCAAGACGGAAAGACCCCGUGAACCUUUACUAUAGCUUGACACUGAACAUUGAGCCUUGAUGUGUAGGAUAGGUGGGAGGCUUUGAAGUGUGGACGCCAGUCUGCAUGGAGCCG
rnacentral:rRNA from 1 species